UCGAAUCUUUGUAUGAUAGUAACAUUUAUCAGCUAUAAUACCUUAUAGCUCGGGUUAGGUGACCAAAUUGGGUAUAAGGUGUUACAAAAUAAAACAACAUCGUACAACAAAAUAAAAAUAAAAAUAAAACAAAAAUAGAAAAAUGAAACAAGCAAACUCUAAAGAAAAAAGAUACAAAUAGAAAGGAACACUAAAAUCCCAGCCGCCUCUAAUGACCUCUCCCUGGCCAAAUCCAACCAUGCAAAGGAAAAGAGAAGUUCCCAGCACCAACCUGUCAAUGCUAUUAUAAAAAGAAAACCGAACGAUCAGCACCAUCGGCAGGACCAACAACCCGUCAUCCACACCCAACUAGCUAAUGAAAAGAUAGAUGCCCGCAAAAGAUAAGGCUGAAGCAAGCUCCCUAACCGAUAAACUCCAAGCCAACCCACUAGGCACCCAACCCAAAAACCACCCAACCGCAAUCCACCACAGUCGCAUGCACCACUGAAUAGAUCCAAGCCCGACACCUCAUUGCUGCAGGCGCACUGGGCCAAAAGAGAAACCAGAACAAAAUGCCCACAUGCCGACCCAGGGACCAGAUCCCCAUCGGUGGAUAUGAGAAAACCAAAAGAUUGAGACCCCCACUAAUUUUUUAUCAUCUAUUGUACCACCCGCCCCAAUCCAUGUUGCUCACCUCCUGGAGCCCUCACCCCUGCGCAACAACUAUAGUUAGGCACACCAACCGACCACCCUUUCUUCUUCCACAAUGUCCUGUAUCUCCAGUGGGCCAUCCUCCACCCACCAAGCAUCACAACGACUAGUGAAACCUUCUCUGGCCAUCAAGUGAGCAAUCCAAUUACCCCCACGUCUAAUGUGUUGAUAUGUGCGCUUCUCAAAAGCUAAAGCCAACUGUUGUGACUCUUUGAUAUACGGACUAAUCUCUGAUUGGUCAAUACUGGCAGACUAGACUUUCG
rnacentral:lncRNA from 1 species